GCCGAUCGCUCCAUCGCCACUCCCCUUCUCGAGCCCUCCCUCUCAAUGAUCGAGACGGGUCUGCUGUUCACAUGAGUAGACGGCGGCCGCCGUCGCCGUAGGAGGAGAUGGUAGUAGUGAGGGCGUCCGAGAUGGUGGUAGUGAAGACGCCCUCGCGGUGGUCGGACGCCCUCACUGCCAUCCUCCUUUCGAGCCUCCUCCUUGCCGCUGCGCCUUUCCGGUGAAGGCGCCCUAACUCAUAUGGUAUUGCUGCAACCGCUCUGAUAUCUUCUUUUUGUAAUUGCUGAAACGAUAUCUUCCAAUUUCGAAUCCGUUUCUAUCUAACUAGGGUAAUUAUCCAUGGCUAUAUCAUCUAUUUACAUCAUCCUGUCACUUACUAUUUCUUCCUUGGUACUUGCUUGCAAUUGGAAUACCUUUUGCUUAUUGUCAUGAAUCAUGCACCUAAAGCACUUAAUGAAUGUACAAAAUUGCUAAUAUAGGUUCUGAAGUAACACUCCAUUGUCAAUAAAUUGCUGACAAAUCCUAGUGGUGAAAUAUUUGUUUGUUGAAUUGAAACACUGGACAAAGUAUUCUUCCUUUGGGCUAAUAUUGACAUGCCUUGGACAAACACAUCCCAGGGACAGGUGACUUGCAAAUACUGAAAUUGUAGGUUUUAUCUUCAAUUUUGUUUAAAAGAGCAGGAGUAUUAUGUGCAAAUUAUUAUUUCAUAGAGUAAAAAAAGGAAAUCUUUCAUGCAUUAUCUAGAUAUAGUACAAUUUAGCUUGGGAAUUUUUCAUUUCUUUUCUGUUUAAUGAAAAAUGACUUGAGAAGGCGAAAUUUAAUGCUCUCUCUCUCUCUCUCUACUGGAGAUAUUUGUCUAUGAAAAGGCAAGCAUAAUAUUUAACAAAACAUCAAGUUUUCCUGGAGCAUAUUAUGUUCCUAUAGGUGUUGGUAUCGAUUAUUCUGUGCUUUCUAACCUAGUGAUAUAUGUUAUAUAUCAGAAAGGGUUUCUUUUUCGCAUGGUUGAAUUUCUAGUUCCGAGUAAAAUAAUGCUAGUAUGGUAACGUGAAUAAUUUAUAGUUAAAGAGAGGAAAGGCACUUCAACUUUUUUGUAUUAGGUUACCUCAAAUACUCUAGAUGAAUAUUAAAAACUUUGUCCAUCAGAUAAAAAGACAAAAAAAAAAAAACCGAAAGGGAGAUGGACCAAAUAUAAUCUUGUGAAUUAGCAGGAAAUUAUUGAAAGUUUUAAGCAGUUUCUGAGAGCAUAUAAACCAGAAUAAGAUUUCACUAGAGGCAUAUAACCUAUCAUAUUCCUGCAUACUUAGACAAUCAAAGUUUGAUUGUGACUGUUUAGCGUGAUUAAACACAGACAAUUUACAAAAGUUUGUGAAGCUUUCUUUAUUUUCUCCUUUUCGUCCAGCAUAUUAUUGUUGCAGACCAAUAGAAGUUUUUACACCCCCUCAAUGCUUUCAUUCCCAUCAUAUUAUACGUAAGUCGCAUGUAAUGGCAUAAUAAUGAUUUAAUUUGUUUUUUAUUUUUGAAAUAGGCUCUUAUUUUUUCUUAGUGAUGAUCUAAUACCUCUAUGUGCUUUGGAUUAGGUCAUGCAGAUCCUCAUGAAUGCCUGUGGCCUUUGGCAAACAAAAGAUGCUGCCUUGAGAUAAGACCACUUGUAGUACCUUGUUCAUCAAUUUGAGGAUGAAUGAUAAACACUGUAUUCGUCUGAAUACUAAUGACUGAAAAUUUCACAAAAUGAACAGAUUUGGGGAAAAUACUUUGUGAUGCUUAUUGUUGCGGCAGAACAUAUCAGUGGCCAGCCAGGCAUUGGGUUUCAGGUAUUUUCUCUCUUUCUAUUGACCUAUAAGUACUCCUAAGAUGAACUUUUGUUAUGGAUUAUUAAAAUGCUUCCCAACAUACUACAUAUCUUUGAAAACUUUUCAUUUCAUUUAAAUAGAUUAUUGUGUAUUAUCUUUC
rnacentral:lncRNA from 1 species